rnacentral:rRNA from 1 species
UACGAGGGGGCGAGCGUUGUUCGGAAUUAUUGGGCGUAAAGGGUGCGUAGGCGGCCUGACAAGUCUGAUGUGAAAUCCCUGGGCUCAACCCAGGGCCUGCAUCGGAAACUGUCGGGCUUGAGUAUGGGAGAGGUGAGUGGAAUUUCCGGUGUAGCGGUGAAAUGCGUAGAUAUCGGGAAGAACACCUAUGGCGAAGGCAGCUCUCUGGGACGGUACUGACGCUGAGACGCGAAAGCGUGGGGAGCGAACAGG